GGCCUCCUCGUGCUUCCCACAGACUGUUUUCUUGACACCAACUGGGUAGAAGGAGGAGGCACAGUGUCCCUGCCCUGUGUCCACUUCAGCCUGGGCCCUUUACCUGGUCAGUAUUGUGAAUGAAUUUGA